GGAGAGAUGGCCCAGUGGUUAGAGCACUGGCUGCUCUUCCAGAGGACCUGGGUUCAAUUCCCAGCACCC
rnacentral:tRNA from 1 species